rnacentral:lncRNA from 1 species
CAAAGGGAAAGUGGACAAAAGAUGCUGCAAAAGGGAAAUGGACAAGAAAUGCUGCAAAGGUAGAAUCAACCAGAGAUGCUGCAAAGGUAAAUUGAUCAGAGAUGAUGCAAAGGGGAAAUGGGCAAGAAAUGCUACAAAGAGAAAAUGAACAAAAGAUGCUGCAAAGGGGAAAUAGAAAAGAGAUGCUGCAGAGAUGAAAAGGACAAGAGAUGCUGCAAAGGGGAAAUGGACAAGAGAUGCUUCAGAAGUGAAAUGAACAAGAGAGGCUGCAAAAGUAAAAUUAAUCAGAGAUGUUGCAGAUGGGCUAGAAAUGCUACAAAGGGAAAAUGGACAAAAGAUGCUGUAAAGGGGAAAUGUACAAGAGAUGCUGCAGAGGUGAAAUGGACAAAAGAUGCUGCAAAGAGGAAAUGGACAAGAGAUGCUGCAGAGGUAAAAUGGACAAGAGGUGAAAUCAAGGAGAAAUGUUGAAAAGGUGAAACCCACAGGUGUGGCAGAGGUGAAAUCAACCUGAGAUAUUGUAAAAGUGAAAUGGAUAAGAGUUAUUGCAGAGGUGAAAUCAACAUGAGAUGUUGCAAAGGUGGAAAUGGACAAGAGAUGCUGCAGAG